UUCGACGUAAUCCGAGGGGAGCGACACC
rnacentral:sRNA from 1 species